UGGGGAAUUUUGGACAAUGGGGGAAACCCUGAUCCAGCCAUCCCGCGUGUGCGAUGAAGGCCUUCGGGUUGUAAAGCACUUUUGGCAGGAAAGAAACGUCGCGGGUUAAUACCCCGCGAAACUGACGGUACCUGCAGAAUAAGCACCGGCUAACUACGUGCCAGCAGCCGCGGUAAUACGUAGGGUGCAAGCGUUAAUCGGAAUUACUGGGCGUAAAGCGUGCGCAGGCGGUUCGGAAAGAAAGAUGUGAAAUCCCAGAGCUUAACUUUGGAACUGCAUUUUUAACUACCGGGCUAGAGUGUGUCAGAGGGAGGUGGAAUUCCGCGUGUAGCAGUGAAAUGCGUAGAUACGCGGAGGAACACCGAUGGCGAAGGCAGCCUCCUGGGAUAACACUGACGCUCAUGCACGAAAGCGUGGGGAGCAAACAGGAUUAGAUACCCUGGUAGUCCACGCCCUAAACGAUGUCAACUAGCUGUUGGGGCCUUCGGGCCUUGGUAGCGCAGCUAACGCGUGAAGUUGACCGCCUGGGGGAGUACGGUCGCAAGAUUAAAACUCAAAGGAAUUGACGGGGUCGAU
rnacentral:rRNA from 1 species